rnacentral:rRNA from 1 species
GACGAACGCUGGCGGCGUGCCUAAUACAUGCAAGUAGAACGCUGAAGGAGGAGCUUGCUCUUCUGGAUGAUUUGCGAACGGGUGAGUAACGCGUAGGUAACCUGCCUGGUAGCGGGGGAUGACUAUUGGAAACGAUAGCUAAUACCGCAUAACAGUAGAUGUUGCAUGACAUUUACUUAAAAGGUGCAAUUGCAUCACUACCAGAUGGACCUGCGUUGUAUUAGCUAGUUGGUGGGGUAACGGCUCACCAAGGCGACGAUACAUAGCCGACCUGAGAGGGGGAUCGGCCACACUGGGACUGAGACACGGCCCAGACUCCUACGGGAGGCAGCAGUAGGGAAUCUUCGGCAAUGGACGGAAGUCUGACCGAGCAACGCCGCGUGAGGGAAGAAGGGUUUCGGAUCGUAAAGCUCUGUUGUAAGGGAAGAACGAGUGUGAGAGUGGAAAGUUCACACUGUGACGGUAUCUUACCAGAAAGGGACGGCUAACUACGUG